rnacentral:rRNA from 1 species
AGUGAACGCUGGCGGUAGGCCUAACACAUGCAAGUCGAACGGCAGCACAGGAGAGCUUGCUCUCUAGGUGGCGAGUGGCGGACGGGUGAGGAAUACAUCGGAAUCUGCCCAGUCGUGGGGGAUAACGUAGGGAAACUUACGCUAAUACCGCAUACGACCUUCGGGUGAAAGAGGGGGAUCGCAAGACCUCUCGCGAUUGGAUGAGCCGAUGUCGGAUUAGCUAGUUAGCGGGGUAAUGGCCCACCAAGGCGACGAUCCGUAGCUGGUCUGAGAGGAUGAUCGGCAACACUGGAACUGAGACACGGUCCAGACUCCUACGGGAGGCAGCAGUGGGGAAUGUUGGACAAGGGGCGCAAGCCUGAUGCAGCAAUGCCGGGUAGGUGAAGAAGGCCUGCGGGUUGUAAAGCCGGUUUAUUGGGAAAAAAAACUUGGAGGCGAAAACCCUGGGAGGGUGACGGUACCCAAAGAGUAAGCAACGGCUAACUUCGUG